rnacentral:rRNA from 1 species
AUUGAACGCUGGCGGCAGGCCUAACACAUGCAAGUCGGACGAGCGGCGGACGGGUGAGUAAUGUAUGGGGAACUGCCUGAUGGAGGGGGAUAACUACUGGAAACGGUAGCUAAUACCGCAUACCAUCGGAUGUGCCCAUAUGGGAUUAGCUAGUAGGUGGGGUAAAGGCUCACCUAGGCGACGAUCCCUAGAUGGUCUGAGAGGAUGAUCAGCCACACUGGAACUGAGACACGGCCCAGACUCCUACGGGAGGCAGCAGUGGGGAAGAUUGCACAAUGGGCGCAAGCCUGAUGCAGCCAUGCCGCGUGUAUGAAGAAGGCCUUCGGGUUGUAAAGUACUUUCAGCGGGGAGGCGUUACCCGCAGAAGAAGCACCGGCUAACUCCGUGCCAGCAGCCGCGGUAAUAC